AGCCGUUGGGAGCCCAGGAGGCGGGGCGCCUGUGGGAGCCGUGGAGGGAACUUUCCCAGUCCCCGAGGCGGAUCCGGUGUUGCAUCCUUGGAGCGAGCUGAGAGCUCGAGUACAGAACCUGCUAAGGCCAUCAAACCUAUUGAUCGGAAGUCAGUCCAUCAGAUUUGCUCUGGGCCGGUGGUACCGAGUCUAAGCACUGCGGUGAAGGAGUUAGUAGAAAACAGUCUGGAUGCUGGUGCCACUAAUAUUGAUCUAAAGCUUAAGGACUAUGGAGUGGAUCUCAUUGAAGUUUCAGGCAAUGGAUGUGGGGUAGAAGAAGAAAACUUCGAAGGCUUAACUCUGAAACAUCACACAUCUAAGAUUCAAGAGUUUGCCGACCUACCUCAGGUUGAAACUUUUGGCUUUCGGGGGGAAGCUCUGAGCUCACUUUGUGCACUGAGUGAUGUCACCAUUUCUACCUGCCAUGUAUCGGCGAAGGUUGGGACUCGACUGGUGUUUGAUCACUAUGGGAAAAUCAUCCAGAAAACCCCCUACCCCCACCCCAGAGGGAUGACAGUCAGUGUGAAGCAGUUAUUUUCUACGCUACCUGUGCACCAUAAAGAAUUUCAAAGGAAUAUUAAGAAGAUGGAGUCUCACUUUGGUGCCCUGGUUGCAGUGCAGUGGCGCGAUCUCAGUUCACUGCAACCUCCACCUGCCAAGUUCAAGCGAUUCUCCUGCUUCAGCCUUCUGAGUAGCUACCAUUACAGGCACGCGCCACCACGCCCAGCUAAUUUUUGUAUUUUCAGUGGAGACGGGGUUCCACCAUGUUGUCCAGGCUGGCCAGGCUGGUCUUGAAUUCCUGCCCUCAGGUGAUCCGCCCACCUCGGCCUCUCAAAGUGCUGGGAUUACAGGUGUGAGCCACCAUGCCUGACCUUAUGUACUUAUAUUUUUAUGAGAAUAUUUCUCUUGGUUUUCUGAUAAAUGAGUUACUGGAACCCUUAUGAAUUUGAAUGCAAAUGAAACAGCUAAAUGUUAUAUAAUUGUUGUGUUUAAAAAGCAGAUUAUAAAACUGUCUAUAUUAUAUGAUUACAGUUUUAUGAAAACAAAACAACAGGCCUAAAUGUGUAUAGUAUAAAGACUGGAAGAGUCA
rnacentral:lncRNA from 1 species